AAAGAAUUAGUUAAAUUUAUAAUAUUAAUUUGUCAAAUUAAAGUUAUUUAAAAUAUUAAAUAUUUUUUU
rnacentral:tRNA from 1 species